rnacentral:lncRNA from 1 species
UGAUUGAAGAGGUUCUUGGAUUAAUUCUGCCACUGAGAGCGGAAUUGGGAGCUCAGCAUUUGCUGCUGGAAAGAAUUAAAGAAUUCACAACAGGGAAGGGUCUGGUACGAGGAAAGACAUGGAGAAAAAUCAUGACCAAAAUGAGAUCACCCACAAAUGGCAAGGCUUGGAAUCCUCGCGAAGAAUGGGGAUGCUUCGCUCCAACUCCAGUAGGCGGAGCCUCUGUGUGCAGUGGCAGGACUUUUGGACCCUGCAGCCAAGCCCAAGGGCAGUGAGAUUUCCUAUUUCUUCUUUGCACAUCACAAGCCGCUUUCUCCCUCUCCCCAGCCCUGCUGCAGUGGCACCGUGGAGCUCCCCAUGCUGAAACUCAUCUUAGAUCUCAGACUCAGCUUCUACCAAAGCAGCACCUG